UACGAGCGCACCCUUAUCCUUAUUUGCCAGCGAGUCAUGUCGGGGACUAUAAGGANACUGCCGGUGACAAACCGGAGGAAGGCGGGGACGACGUCAAGUCAUCAUGGCCCUUACGAGUAGGGCUACACACGUGCUACAAUGGUACAUACAGACGGUUGCGAACCCGCGAGGGGGAGCCAAUCCGAGAAAGUGUAUCGUAGUCCGGAUCGGAGUCUGCAACUCGACUCCGUGAAGUCGGAAUCGCUAGUAAUCGUGAAUCAGAAUGUCACGGUGAAUACGUUCCCGGGCCUUGUACACACCGCCCGUCACACCAUGGGAGUUGGUCGCAAAAGAAGUGGGUAGACUAACUUUCGGGAGGUCGCUCACCACUCUGUGAUCAAUGACUGGGGUGAAGUCGUAACAAGGUAGCCCUAGGGGAACCUGGGGCUGGAUCACCUCCUU
rnacentral:rRNA from 1 species